GACGAACGCUGGCGGCGUGCUUAACACAUGCAAGUCGAACGGAAAGGCCCUGCUUUUGUGGGGUGCUCGAGUGGCGAACGGGUGAGUAACACGUGAGUAACCUGCCCUUGACUUUGGGAUAACUUCAGGAAACUGGGGCUAAUACCGGAUAGGAGCUCCUGCUGCAUGGUGGGGGUUGGAAAGUUUCGGCGGUUGGGGAUGGACUCGCGGCUUAUCAGCUUGUUGGUGGGGUAGUGGCUUACCAAGGCUUUGACGGGUAGCCGGCCUGAGAGGGUGACCGGACACAUUGGGACUGAGAUACGGCACAGACUCCUACGGGAGGCAGCAGUGGGGAAUAUUGCACAAUGGGCGGAAGCCUGAUGCAGCAAAGCCGCGUGCGGGAUGACGGCAUUCGGGUUGUAAACCGCUUUCGCCUGUGACGAAGCGUGAGUGACGGUAAUGGGUAAAGAAGCACCGGCUAACUACGUG
rnacentral:rRNA from 1 species